rnacentral:lncRNA from 1 species
CGUGCUUUUUACGUAUGUAUCAAUUGGUAAAAAAUUAUAUCCAGUUAGGAUAUUUUUUAAUUGAAAAUUCUGUAUUUGUAAUUUUCUUAAACUGUCAAAUAAAAUAGAUCGUUCUGCGUUAUAUAAUUUGCAGUGUAAUAAAAAAUGUUCUACUGUUUCUUCAACACGACACUCCUCACACAAUUGAGUGUCAGAUAUGCCUAUUUU